rnacentral:snoRNA from 1 species
CUGGUUAUAUGAUGAAUAAAAUCAAAUCACCAUCUUUCGGCUGAGCUCGUGAUGGAUUUGCUUUUUUCUGACAAAGCUG